UGAGCUAAUCUCCAAAAGCCAUCUCAGUUCGGAUUGCACUCUGCAACUCGAGUGCAUGAAGUUGGAAUCGCUAGUAAUCGCGGAUCAGCAUGCCGCGGUGAAUACGUUCCCGGGCCUUGUACACACCGCCCGUCACACCAUGGGAGUUGGUUUUACCCGAAGGUAGUGCGCUAACCGCAAGGAGGCGGUGAACCUUCCCGUGCUUUUUAGAACAUAGAUGGCACCAGUCAGGUGACCAUCGCAACGCAAUACGCCGCAUAGACUUCGGU
rnacentral:rRNA from 1 species